rnacentral:rRNA from 1 species
AGAGUUUGAUCAUGGCUCAGAGCGAACGCUGGCGGCAUGCUUAACACAUGCAAGUCGCACGGCCCGCAAGGGCAGUGGCGGACGGGUGAGUAACGCGUAGGUAUCUGUCUCCGGGUGGGGAUAACGGUUGGAAACGACUGCUAAUACCGCAUGAUGCCCGAGGGCCAAAGGCGCAAGUCGCCUGGAGAGGAGCCUGCGUACGAUUAGCUAGUUGGCGGGGUAAAGGCCCACCAAGGCGACGAUCGUUAGCUGGUCUGAGAGGAUGAUCAGCCACACUGGGACUGAGACACGGCCCAGACUCCUACGGGAGGCAGCAGUGGGGAAUAUUGGACAAUGGGCGCAAGCCUGAUCCAGCAAUGCCCGCGUGAGUGAAGAAGGUCUUCGGAUUGUAAAGCUCUUUCGACGGGGACGAUGAUGACGGUACCCGUAGAAGAAGCCCCGGCUAACUUCGUGCCAGCAGCCGCGGUAAUACGAAGGGGGCUAGCGUUGCUCGGAAUGACUGGGCGUAAAGGGCGCGUAGGCGGUUCGUACAGUCAGACGUGAAAUUCCCGGGCUCAACCUGGGGGCUGCGUUUGAUACGUGCGGGCUUGAGUUCGGAAGAGGGUCGUGGAAUUCCCAGUGUAGAGGUGAAAUUCGUAGAUAUUGGGAAGAACACCGGUGGCGAAGGCGGCGACCUGGUCCGAUACUGACGCUGAGGCGCGAAAGCGUGGGGAGCAAACAGGAUUAGAUACCCUAGUAGUCC